AUUGAACGCUGGCGGCAGGCUUAACACAUGCAAGUCGAGCGAGCGGCGGACGGGUGAGUAAUGUCUGGGAAACUGCCUGUUGGCGGGGGAUAACUACUGGAAACGGUAGCUAAUACCGCAUACCAUCAGAUGUGCCCAGAUGGGAUUAGCUAGUUGGUGGGGUAAUGGCUCACCUGGGCGACGAUCCCUAGCUGGUCUGAGAGGAUGACCACACACACUGGAAUGGAGACACGGGCCAGACUCCUACGGGAGGCAGAAGGGGGAAAUAUUGCACAAUGGGCGCAAGCCUGAUGCAGCCAUGCGGCGUGUGUGAAGAAGGCCUUCGGGUUGUAAAGCACUUUCAGCGAGGAGGCGGUACUCGCAGAAGAAGCACCGGCUAACUACGUGCCAGCAGCCGCGGUAAUUC
rnacentral:rRNA from 1 species